GUGGGCAUAGUUUAAACAAAACAUUAGAUUGUGAUUCUAAAGACAGGGGUUGAACCCCCCUUGCCUACC
rnacentral:tRNA from 1 species